UCACCCCCAGGGGACAUGUGGCAAUGUCUGGAGACAUUUUUGGUUGCCACAACUGGAGGAAAGGGGCAUCUGGUGAGGAGAAGUGAGGGAUGCUGCUAAACCUCCUACAAUGCACAGUGCAGCCCCCACAGCAGAGAAUGAUCCAGCCUCAAAUGUCAACAGUGCCACCACAAGGAGCCCCUGAUCUAGCAGGUUGCUUUCUGGUAGGGUGCUCCUGCUUCUGAUAUGGCUCCUCCCUCUCUCUCUUCUUCCUCAAGAGGACUGUUCUUGUGUCUAGUAUUGGUUACAUCAACCCUGCCCUUAAAUAACUAAACUCACAGAAGGAGAAAAUUUUUCCUUAAGGAUGCUACUGACUCUGGAAUCCUUGAGUUACAUGUGAAUAACUGGGUCGUGCAUGUCAGCAUUAAGAAAUAAUCACAGAACUCCUGAUUCUGAUUUGCUCUGGGUGGUAGCUGUGCUGGGUUUACCAAUGGAGGAACUUCAUGGCUGCUCAUCUUUGACUCUUUUUCUGAGGAACCAAAUCUCUCUGGGAGUGCUGACUAACUCACCCCUUCUUCAAACACGCUGUGUGGCUUCCGGAUAUGGCUGCUGGCUUUAAAAAAGAAGGAAAAAUAAAUUAAGACACCCACACUUCAAGACAACCCCUAAAGCAGAAGAAAUGAGAAGAAACUCGAAGUCAUCUGGCAAAAGGUGGGACCAGACUGGAGAUGCUUUUUUUUCUCUUUUCAAAACCAGGAGUGUAUUUGUUAUCACACAAUUUAAUUCAAAAAGUCCAGUGGUAGAGUCAGAGCACCCAUCUCCUUGUCUUGGUUCUGCCACCAACCAGCUCUGGGGCCUGGGACAAGUUACUUAACCUCUCUGUGCCCCCUCUUAUCUAUUUAAGAAUAUGGGUCUGGAAGUUCUUGUCUUACAGAACCAUGUUGGUGGUCUGAGAGCAGUGACAAUGAGGUGCUGUGGGUUGGGUGAGUGUGGGCGUGUCUGUCCUUUGUAUACUGCAGACUCUCUUCUCUGGAUGUGCUAACUGAGAAUGGCUACAAGAACAUCAGAAAACAAGCCACCGCCCUAAAGGUACUUAGAUCCAAAGAAAACCCAAAGCACACAUGUAAAAGCUGCUCAAACACGUACAAAGGAAAGCAUACAAUUAUAGUCACCACAGAGCAUUUAAUAAUAAUAAGAUGCCUGAGAGAAAAUGUAGCUGGGAACCCACAUGGGAUUGACAGAAGGACAGGACACUUUGUCACUUGCUUUUUCAAUAAACAGAUCAGAUUCUCCUUUUUAACCACAUGCUCCUUGGCCACCUUCUGUGAGCAAACACAGGAUUUAUCGAAGAUAUGAGAAUGUUGCUAAUGUUGCUUGACCCCUGGUAGGACUAGAAUCCAUGACUUCCUUAGCCCAGCCCUCUAAUCAACCCUGCCCAUCCACCAGGUCUUGGGAAGCUGGGCAGAGAUGCCAUAAGCAAAGGACUGCUGGCUGAAGCACCAUGGGAAGCAUGGAUGCUCCUUCUCUGUGGCCAAAAUGGCAGAGCAGCCCUGAAAAAACUUUCUUGGCUGUGCUGUAGGCUUUACACAGGCUUGUUAUUAUUUUUUGAACCCUCUGAGAUUGACAGGGCAGGAAAUGGUAUCACGAUUUUCUCUUAACUUCUAAAGUGACUUGCUAUAGUCACCUAGGUUUUUCAUGAAUUAUAGAAGAGAAGGGGCCUAAAAACUGAAUUUCCCAAUACCUGGGACAAUGCUGAUUUAGUAAGUUGGGGUUUCUAGGAGAAGAUAGAAAUACAUUGACAUAUAUUAAUCCAUUGAUUAAUUAAUUUAUGAGGCAACUGCCAUCUACAUUAAAGAAUACACAUUUUUUUCACUUAAUAAAAAUGAGAUCUCUCUCA